CUCUGAGGCCAGGCGUGUGUCAGGGGUGUCCCCGCAUGGAGGCCUAGAGAGGCCAUUGUGGGAAGCCUGGAGACCCCAAGAUGUUGGGAGAUGCCAGGAGUGUGUGACACCUGCCCAGGAGAGCUGCUAACAGGGUGUGGAACCAGCCCGAGAGAAAGAAGUGUGUUGCAGUCAACAGCACAGAAAAGGAGCUGGAGAUCCGGGGUCUAACCCCGAGCUUCACCUCUGGAGGAGAGAAGGAACAAGCACACCAGUUACCGCCUCCCCGGGUGAUGGAUAAAGGAAGCCUCUCCUAGGGCAAGAGAAGUCACAGAGACUCUUGAGACAACAAACCCCAAGAUGUUGGAAUUUCCUCAUGAGUCUCACACUGUACGAAGGAGCGGCCUGAAGCCUGGUCUCAGCCAAAGGGUGAGCUUGUCUCCCAGAAAGAGUCAUGUACUUGUGACAACUUGUCAGCUGCCUUGCAGGGCCGGCCGGAGUCCAGACAGUGGUGACGGGAUUGCCUCCUGACUGACAUCACACGCUGGCCCUCUAAGUCUAAAAUGUUGAAUCGGGGCUUAGAAGAUGAACUUUAGGAGUCACAGGACCUCUUUGAUGCCCUUCCCAAUGUGGUCACGUUGAAUAAAUUUCUUUCCUCUGCUUUCACUAUUAAUUGGCCCAUUGAGGAAGGGCUGGCAGAGCCUCCCUUGUUAACGCCACCAAAGUCCACACCCUCGGCCUAACAACCCUAGUGACACUAUCUAGGCUUCCUGGGCGAGCGACACAUCGGGGACUCCUGUCAGUACAGCAAAGGGAAGCGAGAUGCAGCCCCCG
rnacentral:lncRNA from 1 species